GGGAGAAGCAGGAAUGGAAGUCACGGGUGUGGGGGGCAGAAGCUGGUUGUAGCUAUCUGCAGAACUCACCAAAGAGAGGCUUGAGGUUAAGGAGUACAGGCUUUUCACUAAACUAAGCACUGUAUAGACAGCCUGGAAUAUCAGAAUUCAUCAUCUCUGACAAAUUGUCGUGUUCACAGUUGAUUGCAACGUAGAAAUUCUGCCUGAUUUCCAAGACUUUGGAUGCAAGACUGCAACAGCAACUCUUACUUGAAUCUCCACCCUGCCAGCUUGCCCUACAGAUUUCGGACUUGCUAACUUACAGUUGUGUAAGUCAA